rnacentral:rRNA from 1 species
GACGAACGCUGGCGGCGUGCUUAACACAUGCAAGUCGUACGGUAAGGCCCUUUCGGGGGUACACGAGUGGCGAACGGGUGAGUAACACGUGAGUAACCUGCCCACAACUUUGGGAUAACGCUAGGAAACUGGUGCUAAUACUGGAUAUGUGCUCCUGCUGCAUGGUGGGGGUUGGAAAGCUCCGGCGGUUGUGGAUGGACUCGCGGCCUAUCAGAUUGUUGGUGGGGUAGUGGCCUACCAAGGCGGCGACGGGUAGCCGGCCUGAGAGGGUGACCGGCCACAUUGGGACUGAGAUACGGCCCAGACUCCUACGGGAGGCAGCAGUGGGGAAUAUUGCACAAUGGGCGCAAGCCUGAUGCAGCAACGCCGCGUGCGGGAUGACGGCCUUCGGGUUGUAAACCGCUUUCAGCAGGGACGAAGCUUUUUGUGACGGUACCUGCAGAAGAAGCACCGGCUAACUACGUG